UGGGGAAUAUUGCACAAUGGGCGCAAGCCUGAUGCAGCCAUGCCGCGUGUGUGAAGAAGGCCUUCGGGUUGUAAAGCACUUUCAGCGAGGAGGAAGGUGGUGAGCUUAAUACGCUCAUCAAUUGACGUUACUCGCAGAAGAAGCACCGGCUAACUCCGUGCCAGCAGCCGCGGUAAUACGGAGGGUGCAAGCGUUAAUCGGAAUUACUGGGCGUAAAGCGCACGCAGGCGGUUUGUUAAGUCAGAUGUGAAAUCCCCGGGCUCAACCUGGGAACUGCAUUUGAAACUGGCAAGCUAGAGUCUCGUAGAGGGGGGUAGAAUUCCAGGUGUAGCGGUGAAAUGCGUAGAGAUCUGGAGGAAUACCGGUGGCGAAGGCGGCCCCCCUGGACGAAGACUGACGCUCAGGUGCGAAAAGCGUGGGGAGCAAAACAGGAUUAGAUACCCUGGUAGUCCACGCUGUAAACGAUGUCGAUUUGGAGGUUGUGCCCUUGAGGCGUGGCUUCCGGAGCUAACGCGUUAAAUCGACCGCCUGGGGAGUACGGCCGCAAGGUU
rnacentral:rRNA from 1 species